rnacentral:rRNA from 1 species
CAAACGGGUGAGUAAUAUGUGGAUAAUCUACCUUAAAGAGAGGGAUAGUCUCGCGAAAGCGAGGAUAAUACCUCAUAAUAUCAUUUUUUGGGAACAAGAUUUGAUAAAAGGCGCAAGCCGCUUUAAGAUGAGUCCACAUCCUAUCAGCUUGUUGGCGAGGUAACGGCUCACCAAGGCUACGACGGGUAUCCGGCCUGAAAGGGUGAACGGACACACUGGAACUGAUACACGGUCCAG